UGUCUCGGCUGCGCCUGCGCAGGAUCUGUCUUCUGUCUUUACCCCCUUCCUCCUCUCAGCGCCCCCGCUCCUUGCGUGGCUGUUCCUUCGCUAGUUCGGUUGUGGUAGCUGCCCCGAUGACAUUCAAAUGAAGAUAGUUGCUUCAAAGUGGUUGAUAAACUUCUGGUGGUUGACGGAUCUCUGGCAAUUUUUAACUAAGGAACCUAGUCUGUACCGAAAAGCACCGUCUGAGAAGAGUCUCUCACCAUGACUCACCACCAUCCUCCCCUGAACAAUGGCCUGUGGGCUCCAUCACUCACUCUUGCUGACACACCGGACUGGAAAGAGCUGAUUCUAACCUCUGAUCACAUGAAAGUAACUCUGGGAAGGAUCUAGAGAGGCCAGAAGGAGAGACACCUUGGGGGACUAAUGAGAGGCCUCCGAGAAGAGGGAAGAGUCAGACUCUGGCCUCUGAACAUCUCAUACCUAUGGUUCUCAACAUGGCUGCCCCUAGAAUCAGAAAGAUUUGUCAACAUCAGGAUUGCUUACCCCUUACCUACUGACUCAGAAUCUUGCAGAGGAUGGAACGGGCACCUGGACUUUUUGAAAGCUCUCCAUGAAACUCUGAAGCAGCUGGUGCUGGAGGUCCAAGAUCUGAGCCAACCCAGAUCUGCUCCACUGCCUGUAUAGGAGAUGCCCAUUCGAGGGCAGUCCCCACUUCAAAAGGAAAGAAAAGGCCUUCUGAAGCCAGAAUCUCUCAAAACAAUGGGGUCCAGACCUCAGCCAGGUCCUCUGAGGGUGGCGGAUCUCCUGUUUCUAGCUCCUCCAAGCUCGCACGCAUGUGUCACCUUGCACUGCCAGCACCCCCCUCCCCCCCAAGAGGCAUCAUUCCCAGAACCACAAGUCUAUGGAGAUCCUGACUGGAAAUACCUCUGUCAUCUAGCGGCUGACAGACACAAUACCAGAAACAGUGCACUUAUUAUCACUGGAGAAAAAAAAAAAAUUGAAUGAGAUUUCGAAUAACCACG